CGCAGCCGCGGUAAUUCCAGCUCCAAUAGCGUAUAUUAAAGUUGUUGCAGUUAAAAAGCUCGUAGUUGAAUUUCGGGAUCAAUAUGUCGGUCGUGCCUUCGGUACGUACUGGCAUCAUUGAUUUCUCCCUUCUGACGAACCAUGAUGUCAUUAAUUUGGUGUCAUGGGGAGUCAGGACUGUUACUUUGAAAAAUUGAGUGUUUAAAGCAGGCUCACGCUUGAAUACAUUAGCAUGGAAUAAUGAAUUAGGACGUUUGAUCCUAUUUUGUUGGUUUCUAGGAUCGACGUAAUGAUUAAUAGGGAUAGUUGGGGGCAGUUAG
rnacentral:rRNA from 1 species